UACAGAGGUCUCAAGCGUUGUUCGGAUUCAUUGGGCGUAAAGGGUGCGUAGGCGGCGCGGUAAGUCGGGGUGUGAAAUUUCGAGGCUUAACUUCGAAACUGCAUUCGAUACUGCCGUGCUUGAGGACUGGAGAGGAGACUGGAAUUUACGGUGUAGCGGUGAAAUGCGUAGAUAUCGUAAGGAAGACCAGUGGCGAAGGCGGGUCUCUGGACAGUUCCUGACGCUGAGGCACGAAGGCCAGGGGAGCAAACGGG
rnacentral:rRNA from 1 species